rnacentral:tRNA from 1 species
GCGGGUGUAGUUCAAUGGUAGAACACCAGCCUUCCAAGCUGGAUACCCGGGUUCGAUUCCCGGUAUCCGCUCCA